CUCAGUUGCAGUGAGAUGUGAAGCACUUGCAGAGACUCAGUCCACCACCCUAGGCAGCUUUUCCAAGACUUAGGGACUGGCUUGCCAUGAUUCAUAGCUUCUGCUGUCCCUUGCUACCUGCCUUCUGUUUUGUCACAAACAACGAUUGCAACACCUGCAUAUAGGCUCAAAAUAAAGGGAUGGAGAAAAAUCUACCAAGCAAAUGGAAAACAGAAAAGAGCAAUUUCCUUCCUGAAAAUUCAUGCUCCAGCUCCCUGCCACCUCCAUAUCUCCCAGUCAGCCUCUUGUUGGCACACUGAAUCACUCUGGGGCCAGAAAAUUCUCAGUGGAAGCCCAGAGCUACAAGAGGCAAGAUACUUGACUUCUCUGCUGACAUGCCACCAAGAGAAGACAACAAGUUGCUAUUCAUUUUCAGAAUGUGGCCACAGGACAGUGUACCACACUGGUCUCUUCCUUCAUCAAUCAUUACAGCUCAUGACAAGUCUCUUCAGUUGAAUCUGGACCCCUUUUCCCAUACCCUUUCAACCAGGAAUUAUGUAAUAAUUUGAGGAUGUUGCAUGUUAGAUUCCAUUACUCUGCCCACACAUUCAACUAGUAAUUUGCUCACCACGAAUGUGUUUGGCCUAUACAUUUUAUCUCUAAACUCUUUGCUCUGACAUUCUUUAAAGUUGUGAUUCUAAUGUAAACCUGGAUAUAAUAUAAGUCUUUCAUUGAAGAUUCUCUACCCUCAAACCAUUUAAAAAAAAAAAAAAAAAAAAGGAAAAUGGGCCACUCGUAGUGUGCAAAAGAAGUCCCACUGAUGAGAGUGGACCUCAAUUGCAAUUGCCUGGUUUUUGCAAUUCUUCCUCUGAACAUCAAAUAUUGUGCUUUAAUUGCACUUGCAGAAAUCUAGUGACUACAGGAAGUUUAGGCAUCUUUAAAGUGGGUAUUUCAUAUUGCUUAGAGGAAAUAAAAUAUGAAUAGAAUAAUAUAAAUGUGAGAAUCUAAAUAUUAUUUCAAGUUUUAAAAUGUUGUAGUUAUUUAAUAUUUCACUUGGCCAGAAUAUUAAGCUAAUGAUUGCUAUCUGAAUAUAUUCAUUGGCUUUGUCCUUUAGAUAAGAAUAUUAAGCUUAAAAUAAAAUUGAUAGCAAUUCCACAUUAACCUUUGGGAUUACUAAUUACUAAUUAAAUUGGCAAAUGAGCUUCUGCCAGAAAAAUCUCAUUCUAACUCCAUAAAACCCAAAGAACUUUAAAAGCACUUCAUCAAGUCAAGAGAUUGGAAAAGAAAAUGUUAUUGGCUAGAACUUAUUAUUUCUGAAUUCAUUUUUUUCUCUAUCUAGUCUUUUAGCUUGCCUCUAUGAUUACAUUGGAAUAUAUCACACACUUUUUAAUCAUUUAGCUGUGCCCCUCUUUGUGUUUGUUUGUUCAUUCGUUCAUUCACUUAUUAUCUGUAUCAGUUAGCUUUGUUUGCAAUACACAGAAAUGGACGGUGACUAAGCAGAAAUAAAAACGUAAAUACAUGAAUUAUUAAAUAGCAUGGGAGCUCACAAAAUCAAAGGAAAAAUGAUGACCCAGUCUUUUUUUUUUUAAAGUCAAAAUGAAAGGUUCAUCAGUGAUCUAGGAAAGAAAACAGAUAGACGUUCUUCUUAAGGUACCAUUGUAUUGGAUGAAUGUGCUCUAAAAAGUGUGUGUGUGUGUGUGUGUGUAUGUGUGUGUGUGUGAAAGAGAGAGAGAGAGAGUUCACUUCCUCUAAAGUAGGUACUGAGCACCUGAGUUCAUGCUGUAUUCUAAAAAUGUACAUGUAUUUUAAUUGUAAUUCCUAUUUUCUAGUGGCUCAUAUGCAGACAGAGAAACAUUAUAUUUCUCUUGUAAGGACAUUUGGAUUAUGUCUAUGGUUUUUCAUUUUCGCUUGCUACUAUAAGCAAUGUUAUAAUAAACAUCCUGGUAAUAUAUG